GUCUUUUCCUUGUAGUAAGCUCUCAUCUACUGAGAAAUUCUGUAUAUGAGACUGUUGGUGGUUUUUCAAAUUUCCCUGAUCCGGAGUGACUGGUGCAAAAUGAAAGCAACUGGUUGCACGUGAUGACGCAGCAGUAUCUUCUCUUGGUGGUGAGUUCAAGUUGCAUAUGGGCCGGUAAGGGACUGGAAAUCCAUCUGUGAGAUUAUAUGAUUUAGUCCAUCCGUUAGAUGAUUCCCAAGUCCAUUCAUUGGUGACUUUGAAUCAUAUGUGCCAUUGUUAUGGUAAUUGUCUUUUUGAAAAAUGAAAUAAAGAUUUCUGUUCUAAACAAUGUUAAAGUGCAUGCUUAGGUGAUGCCUUUUUAUUUAUUCAUUUUUCCUUCAAUAAAAUUGUCAGCUUUUUGCAAAUGUAAGAUAAGAUAAGAUUAAUAUACUACUGAACAACCAAAACAAUCUACUCUCUUUUGUUCUUUUAUUUUCCGUGAAUCUCUUCACAAUAGAAAAUGAACUUUUUUUAUUCUUUAUUUUUUAUAAUUAAAAGGCCAAUUUCUAUAUUAGUUGGGCAAAAGUAGUUGCUGCAGCAAUAAGAAAUAAAUAUAUUGGUAGAAAGUCAAUAUGUGAUUUUGUUUUCUGAAAUUCAUGAAACUGUAUCUUGAUCGCUUGUCAGAAAAAGUAUGUAGAAUUAUGUCGUAUGACCAGGCAGUUAAUUUGUUUCCAUUACAUUUACUAAAAUUCUGAAAUGAUUCAGUUACUAACCACUUGGCAUCUGUUGUAGGCUGGAACUCAUUAACCCCCAGUUUGGUGGAAGGGCGCUCUUUUGCUGCAGGAGCAUUGAGCUAACAGAUGGAUAGUUUGUCCACUUG
rnacentral:lncRNA from 1 species